GGAGAGGUUAAAUCAAAUGGCGUGACUAAGUAUGUAGAACUGUCUGUGUAGGGUCUUUGGACGCGGGUUCGAUUCCCGCCGCCUCCACCA
rnacentral:tRNA from 1 species